UACGUAGGUGGCAAGCGUUGUCCGGAUUUAUUGGGUUUAAAGGGUGCGUAGGCGGCUUUGUAAGUCAGUGGUGAAAUAUGGCAGCUCAACUGUCAAGGUGCCAUUGAUACUGCGAGAGCUUGAGUACAGAUGAGGUAGGCGGAAUUGACGGUGUAGCGGUGAAAUGCUUAGAUAUCGUCAAGAACACCUAUAGCGAAGGCAGCUUACUAGGCUGUAACUGACGCUGAGGCACGAAAAGUGUGGGGGAUCAAACAGG
rnacentral:rRNA from 1 species